UACGUAGGGCGCAAGCGUUAUCCGGAAUUAUUGGGCGUAAAGAGCUCGUAGGCGGCUUGUCACGUCGGGUGUGAAAGCCCGGGGCUUAACCCCGGGUCUGCAUUCGAUACGGGCUAGCUAGAGUGUGGUAGGGGAGAUCGGAAUUCCUGGUGUAGCGGUGAAAUGCGCAGAUAUCAGGAGGAACACCGGUGGCGAAGGCGGAUCUCUGGGCCAUUACUGACGCUGAGGAGCGAAAGCAUGGGGAGCGAACAGG
rnacentral:rRNA from 1 species